rnacentral:rRNA from 1 species
UACAGAGGUCUCAAGCGUUGUUCGGAUUCAUUGGGCGUAAAGGGUGCGUAGGCGGCGCGGUAAGUCGGGUGUGAAAUCUCGGAGCUUAACUCCGAAACUGCAUUCGAUACUGCCGUGCUUGAGGACUGGAGAGGAGACUGGGAUUUACGGUGUAGCGGUGAAAUGCGUAGAUAUCGUAAGGAAGACCAGUGGCGAAGGCGGGGUCUCUGGACAGUUCCUGACGCUGAGGCACGAAGGCCAGGGGAGCAAACGGG